UACGUAGGUGGCGAGCGUUGUCCGGAAUUAUUGGGCGUAAAGAGCUUGUAGGCGGUUUGUCGCGUCUGCUGUGAAAUUUCGGGGCUCAACCCCGAACUUGCAGUGGGUACGGGCAGACUAGAGUGUGGUAGGGGAGACUGGAAUUCCUGGUGUAGCGGUGAAAUGCGCAGAUAUCAGGAGGAACACCGAUGGCGAAGGCAGGUCUCUGGGCCAUAACUGACGCUGAGAAGCGAAAGCAUGGGGAGCGAACAGG
rnacentral:rRNA from 1 species